rnacentral:rRNA from 1 species
UACGUAGGGUGCGAGCGUUAAUCGGAAUUACUGGGCGUAAAGCGUGCGCAGGCGGUUCGUUAAGUUCGUUGUGAAAGCCCCGGGCUCAACCUGGGAACUGCAAUGGAAACUGGCGGGCUUGAAUGCGGCAGAGGGGGGUGGAAUUCCGCGUGUAGCAGUGAAAUGCGUAGAGAUGCGGAGGAACACCAGUGGCGAAGGCGAGUCCCUGGACAACACCUGACACUGAGGCACGAAAGCUAGGGGAGCAAACAGG